rnacentral:rRNA from 1 species
AUCAACUUUCGAUGGUAGGAUAGAGGCCUACCAUGGUGGUAACGGGUAACGGGGAAUUAGGGUUCGAUUCCGGAGAGGGAGCCUGAGAAACGGCUACCACAUCCAAGGAAGGCAGCAGGCACGCAAAUUACCCAAUCCCGACACGGGGAGGUAGUGACAAUAAAUAACAACACAGGGCUCUUUUGGGUCUUGUUAUUGGAAUGAGUACGAUUUAAAUCUCCUAACGAGGAACAAUUGGAGGGCAAGUCUGGUGCCAGCAGCCGCGGUAAUUCCAGCUCCAAUAGCGUAUAUUAAAGUUGCUGCAGUUAAAAAGCUCGUAGUUGAAUUUCGGGAUUGACACAUCGGUCGUGCCUUAAGGGGUAUGAACUGGUGUAGUCAAUUUCUCACCUUCUGGAGAACCGCGAUGCCCUUAAUUGGGUGUCACGGGGAACCAGGGACCUUUACUUUGAAAAAAUUAGAGUGUUUAAAGCAGGCAUUUUGCUUGAAUACAUUAGCAUGGAAUAAUAAAAUAGGACGGCAUGAUUCUAUUUGUUGGUUUCUAGGAUCACCGUAAUGAUUAAUAGGGAUAGUUGGGGGCAUUAGUAUUCAAUUGUCAGAGGUGAAAUUCUUGGAUUUAUUGGAAGACUAACUCUGCGAAAGCAUUUGCCAAGGAUGUUUUCAUUAAUCAAGAACGAAAGUUAGGGGAUCGAAGACGAUCAGAUACCGUCGUAGUCUUAACCAUAAGCUAUGCCGACUAGGAAUCAGACGAUGUUAAUUUUUUAAUGACUCGUUUG